AUGACCAGCCUGCCUCUCCCUGCCCUCCCCUCCCCUCCUUUUCACAACAACCCUGCCAGGUUAUUUUCGGUUCAAUUCUACUCUGCAUUGCCUUUUUCACAGUCCGUGUACAAGAAAUGUUCUCCUGGACGUUCAAGGGCCUCAGAUUGCAACCCUCAUUCUUUUGUCACAGGCAGAGAUGGAUUCUUGGAGGUUUAUUUCGCCAGGCAGUCAGAUUAUUCUACAAUUUGUGGUAAGCCCUGAGUAAUGGCCUUGAUGAAUCAGGGGAUGUUCCAGUUUAUGUUUGAUUUAACCCAGGGGAAGGUACUGCAAAGAUGGUGGACCUGCCCAUUUUUGAGUCCAGGAGACCUCCUUGUACCCAAAAAUACAUGAAUACUGGGAGGAAAAAAAGGAGAAAUGUCAUUCAUAGAAGGCUUAAAUGCAAGAGGGAAGGAGUUGACAAGCCAGAAAUGGACUCCAAGCUAG
rnacentral:lncRNA from 1 species